GACGAACGCUGGCGGCAGGCUUAACACAUGCAAGUCGAGCGCCCCGCAAGGGGAGCGGCAGACGGGUGAGUAACGCGUGGGAAUCUACCCAUCUCUACGGAAUAACGCAUGGAAACGUGUGCUAAUACCGUAUACGUCCUUCGGGAGAAAGAUUUAUCGGAGAUGGAUGAGCCCGCGUUGGAUUAGCUAGUUGGUGGGGUAAAGGCCUACCAAGGCGACGAUCCAUAGCUGGUCUGAGAGGAUGAUCAGCCACACUGGGACUGAGACACGGCCCAGACUCCUACGGGAGGCAGCAGCGGGGAAUAUUGGACAAUGGGCGCAAGCCUGAUCCAGCCAUGCCGCGUGAGUGAUGAAGGCCCUAGGGUUGUAAAGCUCUUUCACCGGUGAAGAUAAUGACGGUAACCGGAGAAGAAGCCCCGGCUAACUUCGUGCCAGCAGCAGCCGCAGUAA
rnacentral:rRNA from 1 species